GACGAACGCUGGCGGCGUGCUUAACACAUGCAAGUCGAGCGAUGAAGUUCCUUCGGGAACGGAUUAGCGGCGGACGGGUGAGUAACACGUGGGUAACCUGCCUCAUAGAGGGGAAUAGCCUUUCGAAAGGAAGAUUAAUACCGCAUAAGAUUGUAGCUUCGCAUGAAGUAGCAAUUAAAGG
rnacentral:rRNA from 1 species